GAGAGUUCGGAGGCAUCUUCCAGAGAUCCAGAUUAACUUGCUUUCUCUCUGUUACACCCACGCAAUAAAUUUGUGGAAAUCGACAACCUAUCUCCCUUGUGAUUUGAUGGAGCUUGCAGCGACAUACUCGUUCGUACCUACCUACGUAUUAAAUCCCACACGCAGGAGCUUCCUUCCACCACCAUAUUGACAUAAGAAUAUAUUUAUAAGUUGGGGAAAAAUAUGCAUCUGUUGGAAUCACCUCCACCCCUGACGGCGACGAUAUGUACACGACACGGUGGUACGAAUAAGUAAAAGCAUUCGAGUUCGGCAUAAGGAUGGUUCGUGCCGGUUUUGAUGUUUGUUGUUUGUGCUGCCUGCUAUUCUAUCAACAACGGCCAUUGAACGGAAAAUUAACAAAAUUGCCAUCGCGAUGAAGCAGACAAUAAGCUGAAUGGUUUGAUACGACGACGGCGACGAAUUAUAACGUAUUUAAAAAUCGCAUGACUGUGGCCUGACAUUUGUACAAGAAUAUGGAACAUGGUUUUAAUUAAAUCAAGCCUAAUGGAAGACAUUUCUCCAACGGUUACACGUUGUACUUACACGGAAAGUAAUCGUUAAAUACCUAAUUAAAAAUCAUUCGUUCAUCGAGUAACUUGGGGAAAUGUUGGCGAUGAAAUGUGAUUAUUCAAUGUGCAAGAAGUACAUUGAAGAAGCUACCCUUUCGUCUUUUGAAGAUAUCUUUCUUGGUAUAGUCCACCUUUUUCUCAAUCGCUGAAACAAGACGCAUAUUCGCAUACGUACCAUCAACCAUGACAUCAACGACGUCGUUUAUUUAUUAUUACGAUUCAUUCUACCAACACCCGACGACCAUCCUACUAAACCGUAAGUAUCAAGCUUCUCGAGAUCAUUCACCUUUCGGACAUUUGCGACAUUUGGC